UACACUCCUGCGGGAGGCAGCAGUAGGGAAUCUUCCACAAUGGGUGCAAACCUGAUGGAGCAAUGCCGCGUGAGUGAAGAAGGUCUUCGGAUCGUAAAGCUCUGUUGUUAGAGAAGAACACGUGCUAGGUAACUACUAGCGCCUUGACGGUAUCUAACCAGAAAGUCACGGCUAACUACGUGCCAGCAGCCGCGGUAAUACGUAGGUGACAAGCGUUGUCCGGAUUUAUUGGGCGUAAAGGGAGCGCAGGCGGUCUGUUUAGUCUAAUGUGAAAGCCCACGGCUUAACCGUGGAACGGCAUUGGAAACUGACAGACUUGAAUGUAGAAGAGGAAAAUGGAAUUCCAAGUGUAGCGGUGGAAUGCGUAGAUAUUUGGAGGAACACCAGUGGCGAAGGCGAUUUUCUGGUCUAACAUUGACGCUGAGGCUCGAAAGCGUGGGGAGCGAACAGGAUUAGAAACCCUAGUAGUCCCAUGAU
rnacentral:rRNA from 1 species